AGGAACUUAGGAUAUAUUAAACCAGUGGCCUUCAAAACCACUAAAAAGAGUACCACCUCUUAGUUCCUC
rnacentral:tRNA from 1 species